rnacentral:lncRNA from 1 species
UCGGUGACAUAUAUUUUUUAUUAUUGUUUUCAUAUAAGCUGUACAUAAACUAAAUAAUUGUAAAAUUUAAGCGAUUUCUGUAAUUUAGUUCUUUUUUUUAUUUCGAUAUAACCGCUAUUUCUCCUAUUAGUUCAACAGAAAAAAAGGACAUUAACAAAAAUGUAUGCUUCUUCCGGAGGCAGAUUGUGAGCUUAAAUGAACAAUGACCCCAUUUUUUUAUUUCAUUUUUCUUUUAAGUAUAUGAUAAAUAAAAUUGAGAAUGGAAAUGGGGAAUGUGCCAAAGAGACAACAACCCGACCAUAGAAAAAAACAACAACAGAAGGUCACCAACAGGUCUUCAAUGUAGCGAGAAAUUCUCGCACCCGGAGGCGUCCUUCAGCUGGCCCCUAAACAAAUAUAUACUAGUUCAGUGAUAAUGAACGCCAUACUAAUUUCCAAAUUGUACACAAGAAACUAAAAUUAAAAUAAUACAAGACUAACAAAGACCAGAGGCUCCUGACUUGGGACAGGCGCAAAAAUGCGGCGGGGUUAAACAUGUUUGUGAGAUCUCAACCCUCCCCCUAUACCUCUAGCCAAUGUAGAAAAGUAAACGCAUAACAAUACGC